CACCACUCACCUGCCCACAGAGAUUGUUCUGAGCAUGCGGUUCCUAAGGCGAGGAGAGCCGCCAGGGCACAUCUUCCCUGCCAGACAGAGGACAUCUGUCACCAGUUGAAAAGAAUGAAAACAGCACACAAAGAGAAGCAUAAAAAGUAGAGAGCCUAGAUACAGAAACAGAGUUCUAGUAGAGAACUGUCUACUGAAAUGGUAUUUUGAGAUGGGUUCUUUCAUAACAGAGUCUUGACUGAUCCAACCCUGGAGUAACGGCAUAUCAAACCCAAUGCUGUGCAAUUGUACGGAAUAAAAGCCUAGCUCACAUUAACGCUGGUGGGGUUACCAACAGUCCCAGUUUUCCAAGGACCGAAGGAGUUCCCAGGAUGCUGGAUUUUCAGUGCUAAAAACAAAAAUGUCCCAGGAAAACCAGAAUGAAUUGGUUACUCUAUCCACAUAUGUUGACCCAAGGACACCACCUAGUAAACAUCCUGUGCAGUAAA
rnacentral:lncRNA from 1 species